CCCCUUUCAUCUCUGAUUUUGUCUACCUUCCCUGAUAGAGGAGGAUCAGUCUUGGGUCAAGUUUAUAUGAAUAGCUGUGCUCCCCUGCUAGAACCUCCAAACAAGCUCUCAAAAUACGUAUUUUUAAAAAACCUGUCCUUCUAAAGAUACUAGAGAGAGC
rnacentral:sRNA from 1 species